GAAUUGCUAGUAAUCGUAGAUCAGCAUGCUACGGUGAAUACGUUCCCGGGCCUUGUACACACCGCCCGUCAAACCAUGAGAGUUGGCAACACCCGAAGCCUGUAGCUUAACCGCAAGGACGGCGCAGUCGAAGGUGGGGUCGAUGAUUAGGGUUAAGUCGUAACAAGGUAGC
rnacentral:rRNA from 1 species